UGGGGAGUACGGCCGCAAGGUUAAAACUCAAAUGAAUUGACGGGGGCCCGCACAAGCGGUGGAGCAUGUGGUUUAAUUCGAUGCAACGCGAAGAACCUUACCUGGUCUUGACAUCCACGGAAGUUUUCAGAGAUGAGAAUGUGCCUUCGGGAACCGUGAGACAGGUGCUGCAUGGCUGUCGUCAGCUCGUGUUGUGAAAUGUUGGGUUAAGUCCCGCAACGAGCGCAACCCUUAUCCUUUGUUGCCAGCGGUCCGGCCGGGAACUCAAAGGAGACUGCCAGUGAUAAACUGGAGGAAGGUGGGGAUGACGUCAAGUCAUCAUGGCCCUUACGACCAGGGCUACACACGUGCUACAAU
rnacentral:rRNA from 1 species